rnacentral:pre_miRNA from 1 species
UAGACAUUCUGAACCCCAUUGUUUGUAUGACUCUUUGAACAAUGUGUCUCAGAGUGUUGU